rnacentral:rRNA from 1 species
AUUGAACGCUGGCGGCAAGCCUCAUACAUGCAAGUCGAACGAGAAAGUAUCUUCGGAUACAAGUAAAGUGGCGGACGGGUGAGUAAUACAUAGGAAUCUACCCAGUGGAGGGGGAUAGCUCGAGGAAACUCGAAUUAAUACCGCAUAAUCUCUACGGAGUAAAGAGGGCUUCGGCUCUUACCAUUGGAUGAGCCUAUGCAAGAUUAGCUUGUUGGUGAGGUAAUGGCUCACCAAGGCUACGAUCUUUAGCUGGUUUGAGAGGACGACCAGCCACAUCGGGACUGAGACACGGCCCGGACUUCUACGGAAGGCAGCAGUAGGGAAUAUUGGACAAUGAGCGAAAGCUUGAUCCAGCUAUGCCGCGUGUGCGAUGACGGCCUUAGGGUUGUAAAGCACUUUAGGUAACGAGGAAAAGUUAGGUGUUAAUACCACCUAACCAUGACGUUAAUUACAGAAUAAGCACCGGCUAAAUCCG